CGGAGUAACGCGUGAGGAACCUGCCUCCAAAGAGGGGACAACAGUUGGAAACGACUGCUAAUACCGCAUAAGCCCACGGCUCGGCAUCGAGCAGAGGGAAAAGGAGCGAUCCGCUUUGAGAUGGCCUCGCGUCCGAUUAGCUAGUUGGUGAGGUAACGGCCCACCAAGGCGACGAUCGGUAGCCGGACUGAGAGGUUGAACGGCCACAUUGGGACUGAGACACGGCCCAG
rnacentral:rRNA from 1 species